AAAGAGAGCUCAGUCUGUACAUACAGAGGGAGAGAGAGAGCUCAGUCUGUACAUACAGAGAGAGAGAGCCCAGUCUGUACAUACAGAGAGAGAGAGAGCUCAGUCUGUACAUACAGAGACAGAGCUCAGUCUGUACAUACAGAGGGAGAGAGCUCAGUCUAUACAUACAGAGAGAGCUCAGUCUGUACAUACAGAGAGAGCUCAGUCUAUACAUACAGAGAGAGCUCAGUAUAUACAUACAGAGAGAGAGCCAAGUAUAUACAAAGAGAGCUCAGUCUGUACAUACAGAGGGAGAGAGAGAGCUCAGUCUGUACAUACAGAGAGAGAGAGCCCAGUCUGUACAUACAGAGAGAGAGAGAGCUCAGUCUGUACAUACAGAGACAGAGCUCAGUCUGUACAUACAGAGGGAGAGAGCUCAGUCUAUACAUACAGAGAGAGAGCUCAGUCUGUACAUACAGAGAGAGAGAGAUAGAGCCCAGUCUGUACAUACACAGAGAGAGAGACCUCAGUAUAUACAUACAGAGAGAGAGAGACGGAGAGAGCUCAGUCUAUACAUACAGAGAAAGCUCAAUAUAUACAUACACAGAGAGAGCGAGAGCUCAGUAUAUACAUACAGAGAGAGAGAGUGCUCAGUAUAUACAUAGAGAGAGAGAGAGCUCAGUGUAUACAUACAGCGAGAGAGAGAGAGAGAUAGAGCCCAGUCUGUACAUACAGAGAAAGAGAGACCUCAGUAUAUACAUACAGAGAGAGAGAGAGACCUCAGUGUAUACAUACAGAGAGAGAGAGAGAGAGAGAGAGAGAGAGAGGGAGAGAGCUCAGUCUAUACAUACAGAGAGAGCUCAGUCUAUACAUACAGAGAGAGCUCAGUAUAUACAUACACAGAGAGAGAGCCAAGUAUAUACAAAGAGAGCUCAGUCUGUACAUACAGAGGGAGAGAGAGAGCUCAGUCUGUACAUACAGAGAGAGAGAGCCCAGUCUGUACAUACAGAGAGAGAGAGAGCUCAGUCUGUACAUACAGAGACAGAGCUCAGUCUGUACAUACAGAGGGAGAGAGCUCAGUCUAUACAUACAGAGAGAGAGCUCAGUCUGUACAUACAGAGAGAGAGAGCUCAGUCUAUACAUACAGAGGGAGAGCUCAGUCUGUACAUACAGAGAGAGAGAGAGCUCAGUCUGUACAUACAGAGAGAGGGAGAGAGCUCAGUCUGUACAUACAGAGACAGAGCUCAGUCUGUACAUACAGAGAGAGAGAGCUCAGUCUAUACAUACAGAGGGAGAGAGCACAGUCUGUACAUACAGAGAGAGGGAGAGAGAGCUCAGUCUGUACAUACAGAGGGAGAGAGCCCAGUCUGUACAUACAGAGGGAGAGAGAGAGAGCCCAGUCUGUACAUACAGAGGGAGAGAGCUCAGUCUGUACAUACAGAGAGAGAGAGCUCAGUCUAUACAUACAGAGGGAGAGAGCUCAGUCUGUACAUACAGAGAGAGAGAGCUCAGUCUAUACAUACAGAGGGGGAGAGCUCAGUCUGUACAUACAGAGGGAGAGAGAGAGAGAGCCCAGUCUGUACAUACAGAGGGAGAGAGCUCAGUCUAUACAUACAGAGGGAGAGAGCUCAGUCUGUACAUACAGAGAGAGAGAGAGAGAGAGCCCAGUCUGUACAUACAGAGGGAGAGAGCUCAGUCUAUACAUACAGAGGGAGAGAGCUCAGUCUGUACAUACAGAGGGAGAGAGAGAGAGCCCAGUCUGUACAUACAGAGGGAGAGAGCUCAGUCUAUACAUACAGAGGGAGAGAGCUCAGUCUGUACAUACAGAGGGAGAGAGAGAGAGAGCCCAGUCUGUACAUACAGAGGGAGAGAGCUCAGUCUGUACAUACAGAGGGAGAGAGCUCAGUCUAUACAUACAGAGGGAGAGAGCUCAGUCUGUACAUACAGAGGGAGAGAGAGCCCAGUCUGUACAUACAGAGGGAGAGAGCUCAGUCUGUACAUACAGAGAGAGAGAGCUCAGUCUAUACAUACAGAGGGAGAGAGCUCAGUCUGUACAUACAGAGAGAGAGAGCUCAGUCUGUACAUACAGAGAGAGAGAGCUCAGUCUGUACAUACAGAGAGAGAGAGCUCAGUCUAUACAUACAGAGGGAGAGAGCUCAGUCUAUACAUACAGAGGGAGAGAGCUCAGUCUAUACAUACAGAGGGAGAGAGAGAGAGAGCCCAGUCUGUACAUACAGAGGGAGAGAGCUCAGUCUAUACAUACAGAGGGAGAGAGCCUUGGGGUCUGUACAUACAGAGGAGAGAGAGAGAGGGGAGGCCCAAAUUCACAGCCAUUGGCUGAGGGAGAGAGCCCAGUCUGUACAUACAGAGGGAGAGAGAGAGAGAGCCCAGUCUGUACAUACAGAGGGAGAGAGCUCAGUCUAUACAUACAGAGGGAGAGAGCUCAGUCUGUACAUACAGAGGGAGAGAGAGAGAGAGCCCAGUCUGUACAUACAGAGGGAGAGAGCCCAGUCUGUACAUACAGAGGGAGAGAGCUCAGUCUAUACAUACAGAGGGAGAGAGCUCAGUCUGUACAUACAGAGGGAGAGAGCUCAGUCUAUACAUACAGAGGGAGAGAGCUCAGUCUGUACAUACAGAGGGAGAGAGCUCAGUCUAUACAUACAGAGGGAGAGAGAGAGAGAGCCCAGUCUGUACAUACAGAGGGAGAGAGCUCAGUCUGUACAUACAGAGGGAGAGAGAGAGAGAGCUCAGUCUGUACAUACAGAGAGAGAGAGCUCAGUCUGUACAUACAGAGGGAGAGAGCUCCGUCUAUACAUACAGAGAGAGAGAGAGAGAGAGAGAGAGAGAGAGUAUUGUGCACAGGCCCAGGAUCAGCCCUAUAUUUUCAGAACCAUUGAAAACACAGCAUGAGAGUUGACAUAGAUGCAGCAUUAGGGUAAUACUUUAAUUAUGAAAACAAACAUUUAAAAAGCCAAGCGGUGCCCUAGACAAAAACCUACAGAAAUCUGCCAUUUUGAACCCAAAUUAUGUUCCUGUUAAUUGCUGCUGUCAUAGACGUUAGGUUUUCAUACUAUGCAAGGAUAUUAAAGUUAAUUAUUCUGUUAGCUAUAACGGUUAACAUCUGCGGGAAUAGCUUAGCCUUCUGAGAAGAAUUGCCAAUGAAAGUAAAGAUGGAAAUUCUGUUUUUAGAAAGUUACAAUUGUAAAUCGGUUAUAUUUGACUUCAGUAGAAAGUGAUGAGUGAAGGUUGAACUUGAUGCAAUGAAGUCUUUUUUGUUGUUUACUUCGAUUGCUACGUAACUUUCUUUUUCUUUUUUUUCAGGUAGACGAUAAAGACUAACAAGAUUUCCUGAAACAGAUGUUGGUCAUCACACCUGCACAGGCC